rnacentral:rRNA from 1 species
UACGUAGGGCGCAAGCGUUAUCCGGAUUUAUUGGGCGUAAAGAGCUCGUAGGCGGUUUGUCGCGUCUAUCGUGAAAGUCCGAGGCUCAACCUCGGAUCUGCGGUGGGUACGGGCAGACUAGAGUGAUGUAGGGGAGACUGGAAUUCCUGGUGUAGCGGUGAAAUGCGCAGAUAUCAGGAGGAACACCGAUGGCGAAGGCAGGUCUCUGGGCUGUUACUGACGCUGAGGAGCGAAAGCAUGGGGAGCGAACAGG